AUUGAACGCUGGCGGCACGCCUAACACAUGCAAGUAGAACGAGUGGCGGACGGGUGAGUAAUGUCUGGGAAACUGCCUGAUGGAGGGGGAUAACAACUGGAAACGGUAGCUAAUACCGCAUACCAUCGGAUGUGCCCAGAUGGGAUUAGCUAGUAGGUGGGGUAAAGGCUCACCUAGGCGACGAUCCCUAGCUGGUCUGAGAGGAUUACCAUCCACUCUGGAACUGAGACACGGUCCAGACCCCUACGGGAGGCAGCAUUGGGGAACAUUGCACAAGGGGCGCAAGCCUGAUGCAGCCAUGCCGCGUGUAUGAAGAAGGCCUUCGGGUUUUAAAGUACUUUCAGCGUGGAGGCGUUACCCGCAGAAGAAGCACCGGCUAACUCCGUGCCAGCAGCCGCGGUAAUUC
rnacentral:rRNA from 1 species